rnacentral:rRNA from 1 species
AUGCAAGUCGAACGGUAACAGAAAGUAGCUUGCUACUUUGCUGACGAGCGGCGGACGGGUGAGUAAUGCUUGGGAACAUGCCUUGAGGUGGGGGACAACAGUUGGAAACGACUGCUAAUACCGCAUAAUGUCUACGGACCAAAGGGGGCUUCGGCUCUCGCCUUUAGAUUGGCCCAAGUGGGAUUAGCUAGUUGGUGAGGUAAUGGCUCACCAAGGCAACGAUCCCUAGCUGGUUUGAGAGGAUGAUCAGCCACACUGGAACUGAGACACGGUCCAGACUCCUACGGGAGGCAGCAGUGGGGAAUAUUGCACAAUGGGCGAAAGCCUGAUGCAGCCAUGCCGCGUGUGUGAAGAAGGCCUUCGGGUUGUAAAGCACUUUCAGUCAGGAGGAAAGGGUGUGAGUUAAUACCUCACAUCUGUGACGUUACUGACAGAAGAAGCACCGGCUAACUCCGUGCCAGCAGCCGCGGUAAUACGGAGGGUGCGAGCGUUAAUCGGAAUUACUGGGCGUAAAGCGUACGCAGGCGGUUUGUUAAGCGAGAUGUGAAAGCCCCGGGCUCAACCUGGGAACUGCAUUUCGAACUGGCAAACUAGAGUGUGAUAGAGGGUGGUAGAAUUUCAGGUGUAGCGGUGAAAUGCGUAGAGAUCUGAAGGAAUACCGAUGGCGAAGGCAGCCACCUGG